ACAAUUAUCAGAGGUCCGUUCAAGCAAAAUAUUAGUAAAACUCAAUCAAGCAGAAGUUGAAUCCAAACCUGAUGCAACCAUCCCAGCAUGUCACCUACAUAUCUCAAAGGAUCAUGAGCAUGGACCUCUAUCGGUCUUGGUAAUCCACCAGGUCCACCACGAGUAAGAGCACUAAUAAAUCUUCUGAACAGUGCAUUGUGCCUCAUAUUUGCUACCUGUGUGAGGAAUAAGCAGAUCUUGUAUGUCAUGCCACCAGAAGAUUAUCUGAAAAGUAAUUUUUCAAAGCUAUUACUGAUAUUGCAACACAGCAUUCACCUCUUCCGCACAGUACUUGAACAGGACAGGCCUUUCUUUGAGGCACCGAACUGCUGUCUUUAAAAGAUCACCAACUUCUGGAUUGUCCACAUCACCCAGCUUCCUACAUUCUAUUUGAACCCACCUAGAUUGGGGUAAAACACUAAUGUGUAAGAUAUGAAUGGAACAUAGUUACAUAGAUAUAUGGGAAUUCAGCAGUAUAUGCUUCAUGAUAGACAUUUGGUAACCAGGCUUUUCGUCCAUUCAUAAUACUUUCAAGAAAAUUACUCAGGUGAUGGGCACUUAAUUUAAAUUCUCCACCCAUAUGAUUGCAAAAACCUAAAAGAUACCCAUAUAACCUGCUUCUUUUGCAAGUAAUAGUAGAUGGUAGACAAGCAAUAAGGGCGACAAAAUAUGUGCAGAAUUUAUAGUCUUAUACAUCCAUGCAUUAACCUUUAGGCAACUUUUCCCUAUGAGCCAAUCCUUGGCAUAGAAGAUAUCAAGUUCUAGGCCAGUAAACAAGUGAGAUCAGCUGUGGAACAGGGUAUAUCUCUGUCACUUGGUACAACUAAAAUACUGUUCAUGCCUCCAAAUGUUUCUCCCGACGCUCAUUUUACUGAUUCAUAUGGUCAAAAUGUCAUAUCUGAUUCUUUCUUUCCAUUACCAUUCUCCAAAACCUUUGCAGCAUGGUUCGUGGUUGAUUCAGCAUCAGCAGUAGGAUCAGGAUCAAGUAAUGCAAGAACAAGUUCACGCUCAGAUGCCAACGCCUGUGUAAUACAACUAUCAGAGCUCCGUUCAAGCAAAAUAUUAGGAAAACUCAAUCAAGCAGAAGUUGAAGCCAAACCUGAUGCAACCAUCCCAGCAUGUCACCUACAUAUCUCAAAGGAUCAUGAGCAUGGACCUCUAUCGGUCUUGGUAAUCCACCAGGUCCACCACGAGUAAGAGCACUAAUAAAUCUUCUGAACAGUGCAUUGUGCCUCAUAUUUGCUACCUGUGUGAGGAAUAAGCAGAUCUUGUAUGUCAUGCCACCAGAAGAUUAUCUGAAAAGUAAUUUUUCAAAGCUAUUACUGAUAUUGCAACACAGCAUUCACC
rnacentral:lncRNA from 1 species